rnacentral:rRNA from 1 species
UACGGAGGGUGCAAACGUUGCUCGGAAUCAUUGGGCGUAAAGCGCACGUAGGCGGUUCGUUAUGUCGGAUGUGAAAUCCCUCGGCUCAACCGAGGAAGGGCAUCCGAAACUGGCGUGCUUGAGUACGGAAGAGGGUCUCGGAAUUCCCGGUGUAGAGGUGAAAUUCGUAGAUAUCGGGAGGAACACCAGUGGCGAAGGCGGAGACCUGGGCCGAUACUGACGCUGAGGUGCGAAAGCGUGGGGAGCAAACAGG